GGACUACUGGGAAAUCCGACUACUGAAGUGUGACCCCUUCUCAAGAGAAAAGCAGGGAAAAAGAAAACAGAGAGCCGGAGACGCGACUCAUCGGCCAUGGCGAAGCCGGCGGCGGCGGCGACGAGGAAGCCCUCUGCGGCGUCGACCGUCGCACUGACACUGGCUCUGGCCCUGGCCUCGGCUGGCCUCCUCUUCCUCCUACUCCGCCUCUCUCCCUCCUCCCCGUCCCCCACCCCGCACCCGCACCGCCGCCUCCGCCUCCGCGCCCGCGCGCACGUGCACCACCACCAGAUCCCAUUCGACCCUGUCGUCGCGGACAUCGAGCGCCGCAUCGAAGACCGCGAGUGGGAGCGCCUCGCCGCCGCGGGGCUGCACGCGCCGGGCAUGGAGGCGGCGCCGGUCCCAGAGGAUCUCACCGACGGCGAGGCCGACGCCGACGAGGACUACAUCAACGACGCCGCGCGCUUCAACGUCACGCAUCGCGUGGAGGCGCUGUUCCCAAAGAUCGACGUCGACCCUGCCGAUGGCGCCGUCACGGGCGCCGAGCUGGCCGCGUGGAACCUCGCGAAUGCGCGGCGGGAGGUGCUGCACCGCACCGCCCGGGAGCUCGAGCUGCACGACCGCGAUCACGACGGCCGCGUCGCCUUCGGCGAGUACGAGCGGCCCAGCUGGGCCUGGCGUUUCGACGAUCAUAACUCAACUAAUGAUGGAGUGGGAUGGUGGAAGGAGGAGCAUUUUAACGCUGCAGAUAUGGAUGGUGAUGGCUUUCUGAAUCUUACUGAGUUUAAUGACUUUUUACAUCCAGCUGAUACAACCAACCCAAAGCUAAUAAAUUGGUUGUGCAAAGAAGAAGUCAGGGAAAGAGAUAAAGACAACGAUGGAAAGCUCAAUUUCCAAGAGUUCUUCAGUGGAUUAUUUUAUUCCAUUCGACACUAUGAUGACGAAGGCAUAACAGAUGACACUGGUGGCUCUGAUGCACCAGCUAAAAAGUCAUUUUCACACCUUGAUCUGGAUAAUGAUGGGCUCUUAUCAGCAGAUGAGCUAAAGCCUAUAAUUGAUAAUCUCCAUCCGUCAGAACACUUCUAUGCCAAGCAACAAGCUGACUAUGUAAUAUCUCAGGCUGACACAAACAAAGAUGGACAGUUGAACAUGAACGAGAUGAUCGAGAACCCCUAUGUCUUUUACAAUGCUUUAUUCACAGAAGAUGAUUAUGGGUUUCAUGACGAGCUCCGUUAGUUCCUUAGUCAACAGCACAAAGCUGUAUGGAAUCACCACUGUAGGAAGUCGGAAGACUGUUAUGCACUGCUGAGAUCAUUUCCAUGGUUUGUCUGAAUUCAUCCACCAUUUGAUGGUGAUUCCAUGUAAAAACAAGCAUGUUUUUAGAUGCACCUGUUCUAGAAGCUGUGUUCUUUUGUAGCCUUUAGCUCUUUUCUAGUUUGUUUUUUAAUCAUAUAUGCACACGGUGAGGAUGUGAGUGAGUUUUGGUUCUUUCAUUUUUUGAUUUGAUACGAAACUAGCUAGCUUCUGCAAUUUGUAAACCAAUACAAAACCAGGAAGGUUUUACUGUAAGCCAUGAAUUGUCCAUCCUGAACUUUAUAAUGUAAAGAUUGUGCAAACCUCGUGAAA